UUGAACGCUGGCGGCAGGCCUAACACAUGCAAGUCGAGCGGAUGAAGGGAGCUUGCUCCUGGAUUCAGCGGCGGACGGGUGAGUAAUGCCUAGGAAUCUGCCUGGUAGUGGGGGAUAACGUCCGGAAACGGGCGCUAAUACCGCAUACGUCCUGAGGGAGAAAGUGGGGGAUCUUCGGACCUCACGCUAUCAGAUGAGCCUAGGUCGGAUUAGCUAGUUGGUGGGGUAAAGGCCUACCAAGGCGACGAUCCGUAACUGGUCUGAGAGGAUGAUCAGUCACACUGGAACUGAGACACGGUCCAGACUCCUACGGGAGGCAGCAGUGGGGAAUAUUGGACAAUGGGCGAAAGCCUGAUCCAGCCAUGCCGCGUGUGUGAAGAAGGUCUUCGGAUUGUAAAGCACUUUAAGUUGGGAGGAAGGGCAGUAAGUUAAUACCUUGCUGUUUUGACGUUACCAUCAGAAUAAGCACCGGCUAACUUCGUG
rnacentral:rRNA from 1 species